UGAGGAAUAUUGGUCAAUGGUCGGGAGACUGAACCAGCCAAGCCGCGUGAGGGAUGAAGGUGCUAAGCAUUGUAAACCUCUUUUGUCAGGGAACAAAGGCAUCCACGAGUGGAUGUGUGAGUGUACCGGAAGAAAAGCAUCGGCUAACUCCGUGCCAGCAGCCGCGGUAAUACGGAGGAUGCGAGCGUUAUCCGGAUUUAUUGGGUUUAAAGGGUGCGUAGGCGGCCUGUUAAGUCAGCGGUAAAAGCCCGGGGCUCAACCCCGGCGAGCCGUUGAAACUGGCUGGCUGGAGUUGGCGAGAGGUAUGCGGAAUGCGCGGUGUAGCGGUGAAAUGCUUAGAUAUCGCGCAGAACUCCGAUUGCGAAGGCAGCAUGCCGGCGCCACACUGACGCUGAGGCACGAAAGCGUGGGGAUCAAACAGGAUUAGAUACC
rnacentral:rRNA from 1 species